GAUGAACGCUGGCGGCGUGCCUAAUACAUGCAAGUCGAGUGAACAGACGAGGAGCUUGCUCCUCUGACGUUAGCGGCGGACGGGUGAGUAACACGUGGAUAACCUACCUAUAAGACUGGGAUAACUUCGGGAAACCGGAGCUAAUACCGGAUAAUAUAUUGAACCGCAUGGUUCAAUAGUGAAAGACGGUUUUGCUGUCACUUAUAGAUGGAUCCGCGCCGCAUUAGCUAGUUGGUAAGGUAACGGCUUACCAAGGCAACGAUGCGUAGCCGACCUGAGAGGGGGAUCGGCCACACUGGAACUGAGACACGGUCCAGACUCCUACGGGAGGCAGCAGUAGGGAAUCUUCCGCAAUGGGCGAAAGCCUGACGGAGCAACGCCGCGUGAGUGAUGAAGGUCUUCGGAUCGUAAAACUCUGUUAUUAGGGAAGAACAAAUGUGUAAGUAACUAUGCACGUCUUGACGGGACCUAAUCAGAAAGCCACGGAGAACUACGU
rnacentral:rRNA from 1 species